AGGGAGUUUGAUCCUGGCUCAGGAUGAACGCUAGCUACAGGCUUAACACAUGCAAGUCGAGGGGCAGCAGAUCGAAAGCUUGCUUUUGAUGCUGGCGACCGGCGCACGGGUGAGUAACGCGUAUCCAACCUUCCCUAUAGUAGAGGAUAGCCCGGCGAAAGUCGGAUUAAUACUCUAUGUUUUCCAAUGCAGACAUCUAAGUUGGAACAAAGGUUCACCGCUAUAGGAUGGGGAUGCGUCUGAUUAGGUUGUUGGCGGGGUAACGGCCCACCAAGCCUACGAUCAGUAGGGGUUCUGAGAGGAAGGUCCCCCACAUUGGAACUGAGACACGGUCCAAACUCCUACGGGAGGCAGCAGUGAGGAAUAUUGGUCAAUGGGCGAGAGCCUGAACCAGCCAAGUAGCGUGCAGGAAGACGGCCCUAUGGGUUGUAAACUGCUUUUAUACGGGGAUAAAGUGAGGGACGUGUCCCUUAUUGUAGGUACCGUAUGAAUAAGGACCGGCUAAUUCCGUGCCAGCAGCCGCGGUAAUACGGAAGGUCCGGGCGUUAUCCGGAUUUAUUGGGUUUAAAGGGAGCGCAGGCCGACUGGUAAGCGUGACGUGAAAUGUAGCCGCUCAACGGCUGAACUGCGUCGCGAACUGUCAGUCUUGAGUGAGUUCGAUGUUGGCGGAAUUCGUGGUGUAGCGGUGAAAUGCUUAGAUAUCACGAAGAACUCCGAUUGCGAAGGCAGCCAACAAGGCCUUUACUGACGCUAAAGCUCGAAGGUGCGGGUAUCGAACAGGAUUAGAUACCCUGGUAGUCCCCU
rnacentral:rRNA from 1 species